rnacentral:rRNA from 1 species
AGUGAACGCUGGCGGUAGGCCUAACACAUGCAAGUCGAACGGCAGCACAGUAAGAGCUUGCUCUUACGGGUGGCGAGUGGCGGACGGGUGAGGAAUACAUCGGAAUCUACUUUUUCGUGGGGGCUAACGUAGGGAAACUUACGCUAAUACCGCAUACGACCUACGGGUGAAAGCAGGGGAUCUUCGGACCUUGCGCGAUUGAAUGAGCCGAUGUCGGAUUAGCUAGUUGGCGGGGUAAAGGCCCACCAAGGCGACGAUCCGUAGCUGGUCUGAGCGGAUGAUCAGCCACACUGGAACUGAGACACGGUCCAGACUCCUACGGGAGGCAGCAGUGGGGAAUAUUGGACAAUGGGCGCAAGCCUGAUCCAGCCAUACCGCGUGGGUGAAGAAGGCCUUCGGGUUGUAAAGCCCUUUUGUUGGGAAAGAAAAGCAGCAGGUUAAUACCCCGCUGUUCUGACGGUACCCAAAGAAUAAGCACCGGCUAACUUCGUG